rnacentral:rRNA from 1 species
UACGAAGGGGGGCUAGCGUUGCUCGGAAUCACUGGGCGUAAAGGGUGCGUAGGCGGGUCUUUAAGUCAGGGGUGAAAUCCUGGAGCUCAACUCCCAGAACUGCCUUUGGAUACUGAGGAUCUUGAGUUCGGGAGAGGUGAGUGGAACUGCGAGUGUAGAGGUGAAAUUCGUAGAUAUUACGCAAGAACACCAGUGGCGAAGGC